rfam:Triticum urartu cultivar G1812 contig254913, whole genome shotgun sequence.
AAAACUAGCCAGUCUCAUGGGUAUGAAACCCAUUUGAGCGAGAGUAGUACUAGGAUGGGUGACCUCCUGGGAAGUCCUCGUGAAAGGGUUUC